rnacentral:rRNA from 1 species
GAUGAACGCUAGCGGCAGGCUUAACACAUGCAAGUCGAGGGGUAGGAGAAGCUUGCUUUUCUGAGACCGGCGCACGGGUGCGUAACGCGUAUGCAAUCUACCUUUCACAGAGGGAUAGCCCAGAGAAAUUUGGAUUAAUACCUCAUAGUAUAAUUGAAUGGCAUCAUUUAAUUAUUAAAGAUUUAUCGGUGAAAGAUGAGCAUGCGUCCCAUUAGCUAGUUGGUAUGGUAACGGCAUACCAAGGCAACGAUGGGUAGGGGUCCUGAGAGGGAGAUCCCCCACACUGGUACUGAGACACGGACCAGACUCCUACGGGAGGCAGCAGUGAGGAAUAUUGGACAAUGGGCGCAAGCCUGAUCCAGCCAUGCCGCGUGCAGGAUGACGGUCCUAUGGAUUGUAAACUGCUUUUAUACAGGAAGAAACACUCCCUCGUGAGGGAGCUUGACGGUACUGUAAGAAUAAGGAUCGGCUAACUCCGUGCCAGCAGCCGCGGUAAUACGGAGGAUCCAAGCGUUAUCCGGAAUCAUUGGGCUUAAAGGGUCCGUAGGCGGUCAGGUAAGUCAGUGGUGAAAGCCCAUCGCUCAACGGUGGAACGGCCAUUGAUACUGUCUGACUUGAAUUAUUAGGAAGUAACUAGAAUAUGUAGUGUAGCGGUGAAAUGCUUAGAGAUUACAUGGAAUACCAAUUGCGAAGGCAGGUUACUACUAAUUGAUUGACGCUGAUGGACGAAAGCGUGGGUAGCGAACAGGAUUAGAUACCCUGGUAGUCCACGCCGUAAACGAUGGAUACUAGCUGUUGGGAGCAAUCUCAGUGGCUAAGCGAAAGUGAUAAGUAUCCCACCUGGGGAGUACGAACGCAAGUUUGAAACUCAAAGGAAUUGACGGGGGCCCGCACAAGCGGUGGAGCAUGUGGUUUAAUUCGAUGAUACGCGAGGAACCUUACCAAGGCUUAAAUGUAGAUUGACCGUUUGGAAACAGAAC